rnacentral:rRNA from 1 species
UACGUAGGGUGCAAGCGUUGUCCGGAAUUAUUGGGCGUAAAGAGCUCGUAGGCGGUCUGUCGCGUCGAAUGUGAAAACCCGGGGCUCAACCCCGGGCCUGCAUUCGAUACGGGCAGACUAGAGUUCGGUAGGGGAGUCUGGAAUUCCUGGUGUAGCGGUGAAAUGCGCAGAUAUCAGGAGGAACACCGGUGGCGAAGGCGGAUCUCUGGGCCUGUUCUGACGCUGAGGCGCGAAAGCUAGGGGAGCAAACAGG